UAAAACCACGUUAUAAGUAAAUAUAAAUUCGUUUGAGAUUUUAUUUAAUGAUUAUAUACAGGCAAACCAAUUUUAUUUACCGGCGACUGAACGCGGACGGUUUGCGGAUCAGGUGACACAUCCCCCCACUCUUUUCGGAUGCCGGUAAUCACCAGUGGCGUAACACACAAGAAGUUUUCCUUCUUUUUUAGACUUCCCACAUCACACGCAUUUGCUAGACUUCCAUAACUCGCUGGUUAUUUUCUAUAUUAAUUAAUCAAUUCUCGUACUUUACAUUCAUUCAAACAUAACCCCAACAUUUGCAAACAAUUUCUAAUUUGUCUGUCAGUCAGUACCACCAUUAUUGUAAUGGAUUCAAAUUCACACAAUGCAAUUCGUUUCCACACAUUGCUAGAAAAAUGCAGAAAUUAUUUUAACUACCGAUGUUUAACCCUCCUAAUCAUUGCCUUGAUAUGUAUAAUUUUGGGGACUUUCCGGCUGCUUUUGCAAAUAUUACUUAUGGUUACCGGCGUCGCUGGCUUGCUUUUGUCAGCGCGCGUGUUGUAUCGCUAUGUGGGUUGCCUACUCUGGAUCUUCAUUCUUGCCACGCUUACUAUUCACGUAAAAGAUGUGGAUACGUUGAUAACAUGGACGCUGGGCUUUUUCUUCGGUGGAUUGUCAAUCGUCGCGUUAAACGUUUUAUUCGCUCCAGCACAUCACUUGGGACACAUGAUCGUCUUUUCGCACAUGAUGCUAUUCUUAAUUGGAAUCUUCACUAUGUUCCUUUCACUGAAAAAUACCCACCGAAAUUAUGCCCACAAAGCAGGAGAGGAUGGAAAUAUCAUAAGCAAAUCAGAUAUUAACAGAUGCUUCUCCUGGGGCAUAGUCAGUGGUACGUUGUAUGUGGGAAUCCUAGAAGAACUAACUAUGAUUAAAUAUGUUAGAGUUAUGUAUAGGCAACCAAACAUUCACUAAAUACAUGGUACUGAAAAUUUC